rnacentral:lncRNA from 1 species
CGGGAGGCUUCGGUAGUGCCACCACUGGUACUGGGUACGGGACCACUGAAACCCCGUACACAGGAGGGCAGCAGCAACAAGAGAGAGGUACUGGCAUGACUGGAAGUGGUUACGGGACUACUGAUGCCCCGUACACAGGAGGGCAGCAGCAACAAGAGAGAGGGAUGAUGGAUAAGAUCAAGGACAAGAUUCCAGGAACUGGUGGUGGACGUAGGGAUGACGACCCCUACUCAUCGAAUGCCCAGACCGGUACUGGCAUGACUGGAACUGGGUACGGAACUACUGACGCCCCGUACACUGGAGGGGAGUACGAAGAAAGGGGGAUGAUGGACAAGGUCAAGGACAAGAUUCCGGGGACUGGGCAGAGGGAUGAAACCUACUCAUCUAAGACGGCCUCCACCACCGCACCUUACGGUGGCACCACCGGAGAGCACCAGGAAAAGAAGGGCGCCAUGGACAAGAUCAAAGAAAAGCUUCCCGGUGGACGCCAUUAAAUAUAUAUGUGUGUGCGCGCGUAUGUAUUCUAGGGUCUUUUGAUGUGCUAAUAACCGGUGCUUGGUGUGAUUGUGUGAACGUAAUUUCUUU